rnacentral:rRNA from 1 species
CCUACGGGUGGCAGCAGUGAGGAAUAUUGGUCAAUGGGCGCAAGCCUGAACCAGCCAAGUCGCGUGAGGGAAGACGGCCCUACGGGUUGUAAACCUCUUUUGCCGGGGAGCAAGCCUGAGCACGUGUGCCCAGGCGGAGAGUACCCGUAGAAAAAGCAUCGGCUAACUCCGUGCCAGCAGCCGCGGUAAUACGGAGGAUGCGAGCGGUAUCCGGAUUUAUUGGGUUUAAAGGGUGCGCAGGGGGGCUGUUAAGCCGGCGGUAAAAUUCAGGGCUCAAACCUGUCGAGCCGUCGGAACUGGCAGCCUGGAGUGGGCGAGAAGUAGGCGGAAUGCGUGGUGUAGCGGUGAAAUGCAUAGAUAUCACGCAGAACGCCGAUUGCGAAGGCAGCAUACCGGCGCCCGACUGACGCUGAGGCACGAAAGCGUGGGGAUCGAACAGGAUUAGAUACCCGUGUAGUC